CUACUUUGACAGGGUGCUGGGUGGCUGUGCACACUUUGACCAGGGGGUAGUACCUACUUUGACCAGGGUGCUCGGGGCUAGUGCACUACUUUGAUGAGGGUGCUGGAGCUAGUGCCCUACUUUGACCAGGGUGCUGGGGGCCAGUGCCCUACUUUGACCAGGGUGCUGGGGGCUAGUGCCCUACUUUGACCAGGGUUG
rnacentral:lncRNA from 1 species